rnacentral:rRNA from 1 species
UACGGGGGGGGCAAGCGUUGUUCGGAAUUACUGGGCGUAAAGGGCUCGUAGGCGGCCAACUAAGUCAGACGUGAAAUCCCUCGGCUUAACCGGGGAACUGCGUCUGAUACUGGUUGGCUUGAAUCCGGGAGAGGGAUGUGGAAUUCCAGGUGUAGCGGUGAAAUGCGUAGAUAUCAAGAGGAACACCUGCGGCGAAGGCGGGUUGCUGGGCCGACACUGACGCUGAAGCGCGAAAGCUAGGGGAGCGAACGGG